CCUACGGGAGGCUGCAGUGAGCAAUAUUGGUCAAUGGACGCAAGUCUGAACCAGCCAUGCCGCGUGCAGGAAGACGGCUCUAUGAGUUGUAAACUGCUUUUGUACGAGGGUAAACGCAGAUACGCGUAUCUGUCUGAAAGUAUCGUACGAAUAAGGAUCGGCUAACUCCGUGCCAGCAGCCGGGGUAAUACGGAGGAUUCAAGCGUUAUCCGGAUUUAUUGGGUUUAAAGGGUGCGUAGGCGGUCGGAUAAGUUAGAGGUGAAAUCCCGAGGCUCAACUUCGGAAUUGCCUCUGAUACUGUUCGGCGAGAGAGUAGUUGCGGUAGGCGGAAUGUAUGGUGUAGCGGUGAAAUGCUUAGAGAUCAUACAGAACACCGAUUGCGAAGGCAGCUUACCAAGCUACUUCUGACGUUGAGGCACGAAAGCGUGGGGAGCAAACAGGAUUAGAUACCCCAGUAGUC
rnacentral:rRNA from 1 species